rnacentral:misc_RNA from 1 species
AAAUGCGAUAAGUAGUGUGAAUUGCAGAAUUCAGUGAAUCAUCGAAUCUUUGAACGCACAUUGCGCCCUUUGGUAUUCCAAAGGGCAUGCCUGUUCGAGCGUCAUUUGUACCCUCAAGCUUUGCUUGGUGUUGGGCGUCUUGUCUCCAGUUCGCUGGAGACUCGCCUUAAAGUAAUUGGCAGCCGGCCUACUGGUUUCGGAGCGCAGCACAAGUCGCGCUCUCUUCCAGCCAAGGUCAGCAUCCAAAGCCUUUUUUCAACUUUUGACCUCGGAUCAGGUAGGGAUACCCGCUGAACUUAAGC